UAAAAAGAAAUUGAAUUUACUAAGCACGGAACCCUCGACCUCUCGUCUCUCGAACCCUAAUUCCACCUUUAUUCCCUGCAACUUUCAUUCCACCUCUCUUCUCUCUCGACCUCUCCUCUUCCUUUCAUUCUUCGUUCUUCUUGCAUAUAACUCUCACAUAAAGUUAUAAACACUGAAACAACGAGAGCAAGUUUCACCAUCUUCACCCUCUUACUUUCCUUUUUCGCAGGGACACACAACAUAAGCUUCUCUCGUUUUCAUUUUCAACCGCUCUCAAAACCUCUAAAAGCAUCUCGGUAAACCCUUUUCCUUUUUCUUCUAAUUUUCUAUGUUCAAAUAUUUGUAUAAAAAUGAUGAUAUUUAUCUUAAAGAGUUGAACGAUCGAUUUUCUUAAAUCACCAUCGUCAACUCUUCCUGCACGAUCGGUGGAACUCGAUUAGGGUUCCAGAAUAUCAUUUGCGUCUCUGUGAGGAUAAGAAAAUUUGGGUUUCUGAGAAUAAAAAAAUUAGGUUUUUUGAGGACAGGAAGGAAGAGAAGAGGGAAUGAAGGAAAUUUUGGGAUAAAAUCAAGAAGGAGGAAGAAAAAGGUGGUGAUAAUAAGUUUAGAGGCAUUCAUGAAGGCAAGGUUAAGGAAGAAGACACUGAAGGUGUCCAUGGCUCAACUUCUUCCAAGGACACUGUAUUUGACAACCAAGGUUGUUGGUGUCAGUGCGUUUGCAGAUGCAGGAACUCAUCCGAGGAUAUAUCUUUGGCCGAGCUACAGAUUCACGCUAUUUCUGUGACCUUGGAUUACCAGCUAUUGGAUUCUCACCUAUGGCAAACACCCCUCUUCUACUCCAUGACCAUAAUAAGUAUUAUCAAUAUUGGUCUGCAAGGUCUUGUAUACUUCUUGAUCCUCAUUGGUUGGAUUCUUGUUGCUGGCACAUUUAUACUUUGUGGUAUAUUUCUCUUUCUUCACAAGUUUGGAGAGACCAAAUGCUACUUUAGCAUCUGUGGUACAAUCUCUAAAGUUCAGUUUGAAGAUAGUGUGUUGGAAGCUUUAUUAAUGUCGAUUAAUCUUAGUGGUUUGAAAAACCUUUUAUCAUUGUAAAUGGCUUUGACAUAGUGCCAGCUUAGAUUAUUAAAUUUGUUUAUUAUGAAUAUAUAUUAAAAUUGUGGGUGUUGAAUAGGUAACACAUUGUAAGAGAUUUAUUAAUGUAAUUGUUUAAGAGAUUGUUAAAGAAUAAGAGUUGUAUUUAUUUUUUUGAAUUCUAUUUAUAAAAAAUAAUCAGUUCUUGUUAUUUGAACAUUUGGCAAUUCUGUUUGACUUUUAUCAUUGUCAGCUAUAUAAAACUUCUAACUAUUGACUGCAAUAGAAUCAUCUAUUUUAUUUUUUUAUAAAAUCAUAAUUAUAUACGGAUUUUUCCGUAUAUAAUUAUAUACGGAUUUUUCCGUAUAUAAUUAUAUACAGAUUUUAUAUACGGAUUUUUUCGUAUGUAAUUAUAUACGGAAGAAUCUGUAUGUAAUUAUAUACGGAUAUAUCCGUAUGUAAUUUACCUACGCUCUUUUUAUAUAUGGAUUUUUGUCCGUAUAUAAUCCGUAUGUAACAUCAUUUUAUAUACGGAUUUUGAAGGUUAUAUACGGAUUUUAGUUGUAUAUAACUGUGAUUUUUCUUGUAGUGAAACAACUUUUGUCAUCCUAUCUGAAUACUUCUUAUCCAUGCACUGAACAUGAGUAUGAGUCUAUGGUUGAUAUUGUUUCUAAAUUUGAAAGUGAUUCAUGUUCUGAGAGUAUAAUUGAGGUUCAGUCUGAUAAAUUGGGAUUGGGUGUUAUACCUCUGCAUGUCAUUUCUUUGGAGCCACAUUGCACUAACCAUGUUGCAGGAGGUACACAUGAAUUUGAUCAACAAACAUCCCCAAUUAAAGACAAAGGUGCGAGCCUACAAAACAACUUGAAGAUCAAUAGGCACUGGUUGAACCUGCUCAUCAACAAUCCUUCCUUCUUAGAUCUAGCUGUGGAUGAUAUCUCCCUACUAGAUCAAAUUUGGAGGAUGAAGCAAUUCUUCCUCAAAACUUCCUUGCUGGAUCCAAUGGUGGAAGACAUCUCCCUACAGGUCCAAAAUUGGCAACUGCCACCAUGUCCAGGGGAGUUUUCUUUUUCCCUUCUCCCCCUUUCCCUACUUUUAUUGCACUUGUCCAUGAUCUGUUCACUGUUCUGAUUUCUGAUCUUAUACUUAUGACACAUUGAGGACACUGUGUAGUUUAAGUGUGGUCUAUUGGGGGAGAUUUUUAUUUUUCUUUGUUAGUUUUUUUUUCUUGGUUAAAUUUUUUAUUUUCUAGGUUAUUUUUGUCGUGUCUUGUGUACAAUUUGCAUGUUUCUCUUGCUUUCUAGACUUUAUUUAGUUUGUAGACUUGACCUUCACUUCAUUGAUUGGCUUGAAAUCUUUGCUUUUCUUUCCUUAGGAAGAUGAUUAUGAGAUUCAUAUGUUUGAAUUUUUUUUCCUACAUAAUCAAUGAUGCCAACAUUAAAAAAAUUGCAUUUGUAUAAAGAGACAAACUAUUGAGUUGGGAGCAAUAUACUUAUAUUUAAACUUAAGAUGUCUGCAAAAACACUAGCAAGAAUUGGACAAGUUGAUCUAUCUUCAAAACUUUAUUACAUAAUUGUUUAAAAAAAGAGCAUAGAUCAAUCAAAAUAGAGGACACUUCUUUAGGGAGUGUCUUUCUUAUUGCCAAAGGAAGAAGUUGCUCCAUCAACACAUGUGAGUUAUGACUUUUUCGUCCUCCAAUCUUACGUUGUUUGACAUCAAUACAUCUACUGAUGUUACUUGAGUAACCAUCAGGUACAAUUAUAUUCUUCAAAGUUUUUAGAAAUAUAUCCUUAUUUACAUUUGAUAAUGUAUAUAUAGCAGGAAGAUAUCUACCAUUCUCAUCACGGCACAGAUCUGGUCUAAUACCCUAAAGUUGUUAAAUGCUACUUCUGAUGGCAGUAAUGAUAGCAUCUACUGAUGGAUGCUUCUACAACAUUUACUGAUGGAUAUUGCUAUGAUGAGGAUGAUGAAUGACAACAUCUACUGAUGAAUACUACUAUGGAAGAAGACAGUGACUAGACAUCUACUGAUGGAUGUUAGGUGAUUAGGAAUCUACUGAUGGAUGCCGAUGAAGAUGAGAGAGAUUGGUGUCUAUUGAGGCAUACCAAUGAAGAUAGGAAAUAUUAGCAUCUCUGAUGGAUGCUAUGUGAUUAGACAUCUACUGAUGGAUGUUACUGACAACAUCUAAUGAUGAAUGCUAUGAUGAUGAAGAUGGUGUCAAGCUAGUGACGUUAAAGAAGCGCUUACUGGGAGGCCACCCAGCUUUCUAAACCUUUCCUUUUGAUCUUUUUUUUUUGUUAUUGCUCUUUGCUUGAAUGAACUACACUACUUUGGUUCAACUAUGAUGUGUUUUGUGAUAAGUAUUGCUUUGUGAUGCUCUAGUAUAUUGAUUGAUGUUGAGAUGAUGCAUGAUGUGCUAAUAUACAGGUGAUGGCUCACAGUGUAUGAAACAGGUGCUUGAGGUAAAAUUUGAUUGAGAUACUAAGCAGGUUGUUUUUCUGAAUUCUAGGACCUGAAAGUUUACUUGUGUGAGUUUUGGGCUUCAGAGUUUUUGUGAAUGAUUGCCAUUACUUUGGAAGCAUGAAUGAUUUUGCCCAAGUUUUAUGUGAUUGAACUACUGAGGUAAGAUGAGAGAGAUUGGUGUCUACUGAGGCAUACCAAUGAAGAUAAGAAAUAUUAGCAUCUCUGAUGGAUGCUAUGUGAUUAGACAUCUACUGAUGGAUGUUACUGACAACAUCUAAUGAUGAAUGCUAUGAUGAUGAAGAUGGUGUCAAGCUAGUGACGUUAAAGAAGCGCUUACUGGGAGGCCACCCAGCUUUCUAAACCUUUCCUUUUGAUCUUUUUUUUUUUGUUAUUGCUCUUUGCUUGAAUGAACUACACUACUUUGGUUCAACUAUGAUGUGUUUUGUGAUAAGUAUUGCUUUGUGAUGCUCUAGUAUAUUGAUUGAUGUUGAGAUGAUGCAUGAUGUGCUAAAAUACAGGUGAUGGCUCACAGUGUAUGAAACAGGUGCUUGAGGUAAAAUUUGAUUGAGAUACUGAGCAGGUUGUUUUUCUGAAUUCUAGGACCUGAAAGUUUACCUUUGUGAGUUUUGGGCUUCAGAGUUUUUGUGAAUGAUUGCCAUUACUUUGGAAGCAUGAAUGAUUUUGCCCAAGUUUUCUGUGAUUGAACUACUUGCUUGUAGGUUUCAUAUGAUCAAGGCCAUCUUUUGUUAUCCCUUAUUCUUUUAGCCUUCACAUGAUUUUUCUCCACUAAAAAGAAAACAAUUUGUUUUAACCUUUGAACCAUGAGCCUCAUGCAUGUUUUAAAAAACCUUUGUGAAAAUAUUUACCUUGAGUUAAGUUGAGAACAUUUGAUGAGGUAUUGAUAAAGGUUCAAGUUUGGGGUUGCUGGAAAGAUUGAGAAAGGAAAAAGAAAAAGCAGUGAGUACAUGAAAAACAAAAGCAAAAGAAAAAGAAAAAUGAAAAGAAAAGAAAAGAAAAGCCUCAAUGCAAGGGAAAGCUGGGAAAAAGAAAGUGAGUUUGUGCUUGAAUGAUGAAAUCAUAAAUGUCUCUUAACUCAAGGAUUUUGUUGACCAGAAAAACCAAUUUCCUUCCUAGCCCAGCCAUGUUACAAGCCAUAAAAAGCCCUUGUGAUGAGAACUUGCUUGUGAGUUUGUUUGAUUAUGGCUAAAUGAAAGGCAAAGUUAAUUUGUGUGACAUUGUGAUAGUAGAGUGAAAAAGACACCAACACCUCACUAUACACCUUUUAGUAGUUAUUUGAAUUUCUAAUUACAUCUUUGAUUGGUUGAUUGAUCAUUAUUAAGGAUAGCAUAUCUUGAAGUAUAUGAGCAUCACAUUGACUUUGAUUGAAUUAAGGCAUAUGCAUAUCUUGACUGACAUCUUUAUGCUGAGUUGAUAAAAGUGAUUCUUGUCUUGGAAGGAAAAGUUUUGAAAAAUGUUGAAUCAUUGUAGUAAUUUUUCUGAAAUUCUGAGUUACAAUUUGUUUUGCUUGAGGACAAGCAAAGUUCUAAGUUUGGGAUUGUGAUAACAGUUGAAAAUACCGUUAUAUGUGAUGUAAUUUUGAUACUAAAUGCACCCUUUUCUGCUUAGAAACAUGCUUGGAAUCAUGUUUUUCUGUUAAGUUGUGUGAAUAAGAGAGUGAAGAUUGAAUUUGAUGAAUUCUUGACUAAAUUCCCUUGUUUUGGCAGGAAAGGAGAUAAUAUGGAAACCAAAGAUGAAGUGCCAAGGAGAUGAAGCUCAGAAAGGCCUGGAAAAGCAACACAAGAGUGUCGCUCACCGCUCGGGCACCGCUUUUGGGCGCUUGAGUGUCAGAAGCACGAAGCUUAGGCGCCCUUUUUUUGAGGCUUAAGUGUUAGGAACCACCGUUCACCGCCCGGGCACCCUAAGUAGGACGCUUGAGCGCUAGCGACACGGGCCUGAGCCUUGUUUCUGUUAUGUUUUCACUCUAUUUAAAGGACCCAGAUGUCCUAGGUUGAAUCAUCUUUGGUAAAGGGAGCGCAACAGCACACUCUUUCAGUCUCUGGAGGCAGAUUUGGAUGCCGGAGCUUCCAUCUUCUACUUUUAGAGUUUUUCUAUCUCAUUCUUCUCCAUUAUUCAUCUAGUUUCACCAUGUCUAUGGUGAACUAAACACUAUUUAUUGUUGGGGGAUGAUGUAACCUUGUGAACUCUCAUGUAUUUGAAUUGAUUCUUAAUAAUAUAUGUUUUUUCAUUAA